rnacentral:rRNA from 2 species
UAGGACUGUUACCUUGAAAAAAUUAGAGUGUUUAAAGCAGGCUCACGCUUGAAUACAUUAGCAUGGGAUAAUAGAAUAGGACGUGUGGUUCUAUUUUGUUGGUUUCUAGGACCGCCGUAAUGAUUAAUAGGGACAUCGGGGGCAUCAGUAUUCAAUUGUCAGAGGUGAAAUUCUUGGAUUUAUUGAAGACUAACUACUGCGAAAGCAUUUGCCAAGGAUGUUUUCAUUAAUCAGGAACGAAAGUUAGGGGAUCGAAGACGAUCAGAUACCGUCGUAGUCUUAACCAUAAACUAGGCCGACUAGGGAUCGGACGAUGUUAUUUAUUGACUCGUUCGGCGCCUUACGGGAAAC